ensembl:snoRNA
AGGUACCAAGAAAGAAAAAAGAAAAAAAAGGUGCACCUUUCAUUAUAUAGAAAGAGGAGGCAGCAUAAGCCUACCCCAUGUACACCUUAGCCCAGGCCCUGUGCCCCAUCUGUUUUGUGAAUGGGGAAACAUGG